GUGGUUCUCAUUCUUUGAAUGAAUUUGGUGCAUUAUGUCAUCCAGUCAAGGAUACCACCAUGGCAGAUGAUGACGAUCUUUGGUUUGCAUCCCCUAAAUCCUUGUCGAAAGUGAGGAAGAAAGAUGAAUGGCGGAGACCGUACCAUGCUGCUUAUAAUUCAAAGAUGGCAUUGGUGGCUCUUUUAUCAUUUUGGCCCCAGGCUUGCAAUAUGCACGAUUCAUAUUCACUUCUUGGUCAUAAUCAUCAUGUAGUAAAAACGGUCUCCAUGUUGUUCUAUGUUCAUUUAUUUUUGACCAAAUAAUAUUCUUUCCAUUUCUUAGUAUGUUCAGUUCUGAUUAAGGCUUACUCUAUGUAUGACGUGAGCUUUCUUUCAUGGCAGAUCUGUGGAGACAGAUAAUCACAAAACCAAGCAUGGGUGACUAUGUGAAAAAACUAGAUAUGUUAUCGUUUCAUAUUGGAAGCAGACUGCCCGUGCCAGUAUCUCUGAGACAGGAAUUGCUUGACAUCGAUGGAAUCUCCUAUCGGCUACAGCGGGAGAUUCAGAUACUGAAGAAAUUUAAUCUCGUACGAUGUAAAAAUUGCCUGAGAACUGGAGAUGAAUGCUAUGAUGGUGAGUGUUGAUGUUAGAAGCAGCAGAAAUUGCUACUGUUGAGAGAAGUGUUGUAAAUCACUUACUGAUGAGCCGGCUGCAGGUCGUCGACCUCUACUACAAUUGGCUAAAUAUUUCUGAUUUGUGUGCCUUCUUUGCCUGGUGGAUGAUGGCAAACUUUCUGAAUGAACUAUUUCUGAUGAAUUACCUCAAGAAUCUCUUGAUGCAAAGGCCGAGUCAUUUAACGUUGAUCAUGCAAAAGAAUAAUUGAUGUUAUGUGUGAUGGCCGAAAUGACUUGUGUUGGCUGUGUGCAACCUUCUGAAAAUUGUGGCCGUGCAGAGAGGAAAACAACAAGUUUCAAUGUUGUCGUCAUUCCUGGAUUCCUACAUGGUGUGAUGUAGAUUUUCGAUCACUAUGGCGGCGACCCGGAGCUAGCAACGGAGAUCUCGCCAUUGCCCUACACUUCGACGGGAUAGGAUCCUGGUCGACAAAGUUGGAUUCAGCCGGAUCGCCUGUGGCAGCCGCGGUGACAUUCAUAGUGAGCAAUGCAAUCUACCAAUAGUUUGCUAAUGCAGUUGAACGAUGGAAGAUUUAGCACACCCGUAAACAAAACAAGUGUUCCUCUCUCUUGUUCAAGUUUUACACCUGAAUGUGAAGAGAAUUGAAUGUGCAAGACAUGCAUACAGGUGGUCCAUCAUGAUUCAUGAAAGCUGCAUCACUUGCAAGAACAACCAUGGCUUACUAGUAGCACUAUUUUAGUUGAUGUUAAUCAAGACUCCAUGUUAUGGUUUCGAAAUUUUUAUUUGUCCGAGUGUUAAACAAGACUUCAUGUAAUCCAUCAGAAAUUUUUAUUUCAUCCAAGUGUUUGUCUUAGUUGUAAUGGAGCGAAUUUUAGCUUUCUUCUCUGUUAGUUGAGUUACAAAUGAAUUUUGCAUCAGCAGCAUUGAUGCAAUCUCUGUACUGCUGCCAAACGGUUUGCAAAAGUGAUCUCCUGGAUGAUGGAACCUAUAUAUCUUUCAGUUGUUC